rnacentral:rRNA from 1 species
CUACGGGACGCUGCAGUGGGGAAUAUUGCACAAUGCGCGCAAGCCUGAUGCAGCCAUGCCGCGUGUAUGAAGAAGGCCUUCGGGUUGUAAAGUACUUUCAGCGGGGAGGAAGGGAGUAAAGUUAAUACCUUUGCUCAUUGACGUUACCCGCAGAAGAAGCACCGGCUAACUCCGUGCCAGCAGCCGCGGUAAUACGGAGGGUGCAAGCGUUAAUCGGAAUUACUGAGCGUAAAGCGCACGCAGGCGGUUUGUUAAGUCAGAUGUGAAAUCCCCGGGCUCAACCUGGGAACUGCAUCUGAUACUGGCAAGCUUGAGUCUCGUAGAGGGGGGUAGAAUUCCAGGUGUAGCGGUGAAAUGCGUAGAGAUCUGGAGGAAUACCGGUGGCGAAGGCGGCCCCCUGGACGAAGACUGACGCUCAGGUGCGAAAGCGUGGGGAGCAAACAGGAUUAGAUACCCCGGUAGUC